ACAUUCUACCUAGAGACGGGU
rnacentral:piRNA from 1 species